rnacentral:rRNA from 1 species
GACGAACGCGGCGGCGUGCCUAAUACAUGCAAGUAGAACGCUGAAGGAGGAGCUUGCUUCUCUGGAUGAGUUGCGAACGGGUGAGUAACGCGUAGGUAACCUGCCUGGUAGCGGGGGAUAACUAUUGGAAACGAUAGCUAAUACCGCAUAAUAGUAGAUGUUGCAUGACAUUUACUUAAAAGGUGCAAUUGCAUCACUACCAGAUGGACCUGCGUUGUAUUAGCUAGUUGGUGGGGUAACGGCUCACCAAGGCGACGAUACAUUGCCGACCUGAGAGGGUGAUCGGCCACACUGGGACUGAGACACGGCCCAGACUCCUACGGGAGGCAGCAGUAGGGAAUCUUCGGCAAUGGACGGAAGUCUGACCGAGCAACGCCGCGUGAGUGAAGAAGGUUUUCGGAUCGUAAAGCUCUGUUGUAAGAGAAGAACGAGUGUGAGAGUGGAAAAGUUCACACUGUGACCGGU